GCUUGCUGGUGAAGGCUUAGGGGAUACAGCUGCCUGCUUGAAAGCACUUGUAAACUUUCCAUGGAAAAGUAGUUUAUAUUACGACAGGCAAUAACUUCGAACACUAACUUCAAGCUUUCAUUGAGAGCACAGAUUCUAUAGCAACGAAGUAACAAAAUGGGUGAAGGCAGAUAGUAGUAUACAAAACUUCAAGAUGAAAGAUUAAAGUUUGCUGAGUUAUAAUCACCUGCAGACAGGAGGAGGUGGGGGAAGGCCCAGAUCGGCCUACUUUUGAUGUGAAUAAUGCACAGAAGAAAUGAAAUGACAUGAGUCUUCUAGUAGUUGUAUGCGUAUAUGUAAACAUUAAUCAUAAGGAGAAAGUAACUGAAGGGAUGAACUAAAAAGUACAUAGAUAUUACUUCAAAUUAAAUCUAGAUAGUGAAGUAUUUGGUUAUAUCUCUCAGUAGGUAGCAUGUAAAAUUGCUAUGUCUUUAUUAAGUAAAAACAUUUAUUGGAAUGUAUUAGGAUAAGUGAACCUAGAUGUGACAAUGAAACAUUUAAGCAGAAAAUUCUGGUUAAUGAACCAUUUCUGGUUUAUGGUAGCUAAUGUGGCUCCUAAAUAUCCUACUUUCUGUUUUUUUGUUUACAUGCCUAAUUGUAUUAGUUCUUAUUUGUAUGUCUACAUCUAUUUCAGUUUAAGCUUUUGUAUUUUUUUUCAUUUUAUAAUCUCACGGAGUUCAAAAAAACAUCAGUUUUGCAAAAGAUUUAGAGGACAUACUUUAUUAUUGUUUUGUGAUAUUGUUUUAUAUAAAACACAUCUGAAAUGAUUGAUAGUUGACAGCUAAACUGAUUGGAGUGGUGAUUUUUUUGUUUUUAUUCCUUUUGUUCUGUGAAAUGAGUAACAAUACAAAAAUUCUGGAAAGCAUUUACCCAGCCUUCUCUAGCCAAUUUCAGUGACUCUACGUUUACAGGUUCUGAUAAGCUUCAUUAAGACAUUUCUUGGUGCCAGCGCCCCCGUUUUACUUUAGUAACUCGAUCUACUAUUUCAAAAUGCAUGGAGUUUUUCCACUUCUGUGCUUUUUCUAGUCGUUUGUUGAAGACAAGUGGAGUCACAUUGCCCCCAGCAGGGAAAGUGCAGAACAUGAUUCCAUUGUGUUCGUAUCAAAAUGCAAGCAUAACGCUGGAUUCAAGGAAUGUGAGUUUGCAGAGUAAUUUUGGGGGCCAAAAAUAAAUGUAACAUGAAAACAAACAAUCUGCAUUUACCAUGUUUCAAUAAACAAACAUAUUUUCC
rnacentral:lncRNA from 7 species